rnacentral:rRNA from 1 species
UACGUAGGGCGCGAGCGUUGUCCGGAAUUAUUGGGCGUAAAGAGCUCGUAGGCGGCCUGUCGCGUCGGUUGUGAAAGCCCGGGGCUCAACCCCGGGUCUGCAGUCGAUACGGGCAGGCUAGAGUUCGGUAGGGGAGAUUGGAAUUCCUGGUGUAGCGGUGGAAUGCGCAGAUAUCAGGAGGAACACCGAUGGCGAAGGCAGAUCUCUGGGCCGUAACUGACGCUGAGGAGCGAAAGCAUGGGGAGCGAACAGG